AGCUGGUUCUGGGCGGGCUCGCCUUCCUCCAAGUCUGCAGAUCGGUGUGGACUGGGAGGGCAGUCCCGGUGCAGCGGCGUCCCGACAGCUGGGCCCAGGGCACGGGGUGCAUGGGGGUCCCGCCUGGCCAGGGCCUGGGCCCCGGGAAUCACGGACAGGAUUCAGGGCCCUGGACGGAGGCAGUGCGUGGGCUCCCCCCGGGCUGGGGUCUGGUGGGGGGGGGGUCAGCCUGUGCUCGGUGACCGACAGGAAGCUGGGACGCGUACCUCCGGUCCUGGACCGUCCCUCCAGGCUGGUGGAGGCUCGGAUCUGGACGGGUGUUUGUCAAGUCUGUGUCCACGGUGCGUCAGCCCAGCCACGAACAGGCCCUUGCCACGUGGCCACAGGGAUGCUCUCUUGACACAUGAGCUGUGGCUUAUUGUCUGCUGAGGUAGGUCCGUCCCCCGGCUCCUUGGAGGUCCCCACGGCCUGCGUGCAGAGAGGCCCCAGGCUGCCCGCUGGACCAGGGCGGUGCCCCCAGAGAGGGUGGUCCUCCGUGCACGAGUGUGGAGAGCUGGUCAUGCCCCACCCCGGUAACCUCUGGCCGCGGCCUGCGUGACCCCAGGGUGGGUGGACAUUUGGGAGAGGCCUCCCCGUGGCCCUCCCUGUCCAGGGCGAGCUCCGGCCAGCGACACCCCAUGCAGCCCGGGGCUGAAGCAGUGGGAUGGGGGGGUCGCGGCGCCUGCCGGAGUCAGCCAUCCCGCACGUGUGGCAUCAUCAGGCUGUCUGUCCUUGGUGCCCCGGCGUGUCCCCCGUGUGUGGCGUCCACCCCCCGCCCCCGUCCUGCUGCCCACGCUCCAGUCUCUGUACAGCCCUCACAGGGUUUCGGCGGUGCUGAGGGAGGGGUGUGGGCACCGGGGCAGAAGCCACCUGCUCCUGUGACACAGGGACGUUCCGCGUCCAGCCCCACAGAGCCUCUGCAGCCCGUCCUGCCUCGAUGGGCCCAGGAGCCCCACACAGACUCACAGGUGAGGGCCAGUCACCAUCGUGAGUGUCACUCAGGGGGUCCCGAGGGCCCUGGGCUCACAGAUGCAGUGUCUGUCGGGGGUUGUGACGCAGGGGCUCUACCUGGGGCUGGACUGGCUGAACACAGAGGGGCUGCUGGCCCUGAAUUUGCUGAGACCCCAGGGCCACGCGGAAAGCUGCCUGAGGACGUGGGCGGGAGAGAGACGGCCACAAGGCCACUGUCCCUGAGCAGAGCCCUGUGGCCCGGCUCACGGCUCGUCUGAGAUGCGUCCCCCUCAGAGGGCAAGUCCCCAAGGAGUGGAGGGAAGCAGAUUGGCUGGGGGGGGGGUGUCCCCGGAGCCAUGGCCGUGCCUGCCGUCACCUCGGGGGCGGGACGCUGGGGAUCCGAUUCCCGGGCGGGUGUGGACUCGGGUGCUGGGGUCCCGCUACUUUCCGCGUCGGGGUUUCCUGGAGGAGGUGGGCGUUCUCCUUCCUGCACAUCUCAGGACCCCUCUGAGGCUCCCCCGCAGGCCGGCCCCUCGGACGUGGGCCGGGUCCCGCUGCCUCCUGUGCUGCCUCUCUGUCUCUGUGUCCCUCUUUCUUGUUCUCUCCCUCUGUCCGCCUUUGCGAUCAUGGUGGGAUGUUUUCCCUCGGAGGUGGGGUCAAACCUGCACCACCAGAACAAAGGGCAGGGGGGACCCAGAGGGGCCUUCUGCUCCCCACGGCCUCCGGGCAAUAAAGCGGGGCCUCGGGCCUCUGCCUCGCCCGGCGCCCCGUCCCCUCCUGGGCAGCCUCGAGAGCCCUCGAUGGGAGCAGGACGCGCACACAGGGCAUUUUCUAGGCGAGGGAGGUGUGGGGCCCUGCCGGGGCCCCGUGCUCUCCCGCGGGAGCCCACUGACCCGCGAGCCACGGGCCCAGGGGCCCGAGCAGACCUGCUACCCACCACCCACGGGCCGAGGCCCUCCUGGCGCCACUUUCUUGAAACUGACUUUCUUUUAAAACUAUGGAUGCUUUUAUUUAAAAGAGAAAAGCUUCAUAUCCACUGUGACCAGAGACAGUGUCCCUUUUGCCUCAAGGAGGAAAUAACCAGGAGGGCCAACGUGGUGGAGGCCGGCUUGGCCCUGAGACCCCGGGGGCCGCCUCCCUGAAAAGGGUUUCCCCCUCCCCGUGUCCCGGGGCGGCUGUGACAGAUGACCACAGACCGGGCUGCUUAAACAUCAGAAAUUCAUCCUCUCAGUCCUGGAGCCGGAGUCUGAAGUCGAGGUGGGGGCAGGGCCGUGCUCGCUCUGGAGGCUCCAGGGAGGGUCCUCCUGGCCUCGUCCAGCUCCUGGGGCUCCAGGCGUCCCCAGCGUCUGCCCCCGUCUGCACCUGUGUGUGCCCGCAUUUCCUCUUUUCAGAAGGACACCAGUCGUACUCCGUGAGCGUCCAGCCUAGUGACGUCGCUUCACUCCAUCACUCCUGCAAAGACCCUAUUUCCCCGAUGCGGCCACACUCGCCUCGGCCUCUGGCGUAUCUCUCUGAGGGACACGAUUCCACCCGUAACAGAGAUGUGAGCGGAACCCCACAGACCCGACUGAGAGCUUCUCCCUGAACGAACCGGAACCUUGAAAACCACAAAGUUCCCCCCCACAGGCCUGCAGGAGGUGACGUGGCCCUUCGGGGAGCGUGGACGGAGGCCUGGCAGGACACUGGGGGCCUGGGGACCGAGGGGACGAGAGCCCUCGGGGGGUCUGUGUCCGUGAACAGAUGGACCCGGGCAGACGGGCUGCAGUUUUGCAACGCGGGUGCACACGCGUGCCUGUGCUGAAUACGUGUGUGUGAGUGUGGCGAUGCUCUCGGUCUACAGAUCGGGGCAUGUGUUUGCACACCAGCAGGCAGUGUGGAGGAGGAACGCGCCGGAUGUCUGAGCCUGUGUCCCCGUGGACACAACAGAAGACUCCCUCCUGACCGAAGCCGGAGGCAGCGUCCCCGAGGGGCCGGAAGGGCGCCUGGGUCGGCACUGGGGCUCUGAGACGGCGUCUCUGAUGCCAAAAGGUGGCGCGGGCCCUGUGGACAGGCGUGUUGGUGACCACGUGCCCUUCACACGUGGCACACGUGGACGUCAGCACCUGCCUUAUUAACGCAAAUCCGAAACAAGAGGAGGAUUCAUUUCCGAAGCUUGCUGACGUCACUCCUGCCAGUCACUGACAUUGAUUCCUGCCCCUGAAACACGACGCCUGGAGCUUUGUCCGUGUUUUCCUGACGCGCACAGCUCGUCAUGUGUCAGAGGUUCAGCCUGGCCACGGAAUUGCCUGAACAUAAAUGUUGCUCAAGUUCA